rnacentral:tRNA from 2 species
CAGGACGUAACUAAGAAAGAAUAGUAUCUCACUUACACCGAGAAGUCCCCCGUGCAAAUCGGGGCGACCUGA